GUGAGUAGUGCUGUUUUGGUCGAUUAUGGACAUUUUACGCGAAACCUCAGCCUAAAAGUUGUCCGAAGUCAGUGCGUGUGUACCAGUCUAAAUUUUAACCCUGGAAUUUUUUGAGUCGGCGGCAAUUGCCAGCGCUCAGGAAGUCGAAACUCCACAAGAUUUGAGGUUGACCAUGUUGAUCAAAUUGACGAAAAAGAUUGCCGCUGACCAACCCUCCCCAGGACAAUUCUUACUCAUACCUGGACGACAUUGUGGAUUUGCUCACGGAAAACAAUCAAGAUACGCCACAGACUACCACCGUCGUCAAGUGUCUACGGGCGCCGGAGCAAGAGGGAGCAGCUGCAGGAAUUUGCAAAGAACCUAAUCAGCGAGAGCUGCCACAGCAAAUUCUGCCGAUUGCGCAACGGCUUCUCAACAUGCUGCUCUUGGCGCACCGUUCGCCCAUCAACACAUGGUGCGAGACGCGCCCGACCCCACUGCAGGCGCUUCCGCCUACGGCCAGACCUCAUGGUACCUCGACGACAAAACUCUGCUCAUUAAGUUCCAUUUGCCAGCACCAAUUGUGUUCAGAUACGCCACAGACUACCACCGUCGUCAAGUGUCUACGGGCGCCGGAGCAAGAGGGAGCAGCUGCAGGAAUUUGCAAAGAACCUAAUCAGCGAGAGCUGCCACAGCAAAUUCUGCCGAUUGCGCAACGGCUUCUCAACAUGCUGCUCUUGGCGCACCGUUCGCCCAUCAACACAAGGUGCAAGACGCGCCCGACCCCACUGCAGGCGCUUCCGCCAACGGCCAGACCUCAUGGUACCUCGACGACAAAACCCUGCUCAUUAAGUUCCAUUUGCCAGCACCAAUUGUGUUCAGUGAUGUCAACUACAAAUGCGCCGCCAGCAGCAGCCGAGUGGAGCAGUUUGUUGAGGCCCUUGAGAGGCAGAGAGCCUGAGGGCAUGUGGAAUUUGCUCUCAAUAGUUAGAGAGAUGUUUAAGAGGAAAACGACAGAAAUGCGGUGCCUCUCUUGGAAAUUGUCACAGAAGAGUGCAUGAUGUGUGAACAGAUUAUGAUCUGGUGGUUUAACACUACGGUAGCUCUGCAAAAUGGCAGUUCAAGUCACGGAGGCAAGCACAUGUGAACAGCAAUAGCCAUGGUCCACAGCAUGCCUGUUCAUCGCUUUGCGACAAAAUUGUUGUCUUGUGCCGCCCUGAAUCCAGGAUUGUCACCUGAGGAGCGUGACUACGAAAAUCAAUUUAAGCAACGGCACAUCAAAAUAGUUGAUAAAAGGUUGCCAAAAGCAGGAACUCGACUCCAAUGCGCCUUCAGUCUAGUGGGGCAAAGAGCAACACCCUGAAGACUGAGAUGGAAACUCACAGUGGGUUCAAACCUGCCAUGGAAGCUUGCUACUUGCACUGGGAUGAAUAUCCCAUACCUGGAGCUACAUAUUCUCAAGGCAGUCAACUUUACCACUGUCCCUUCACCUGUUUCUGACAUGCAGAUGUUCACCAAAUUAUCUCAUCUAGUAGCGUCCUGAACUGCACCUCACAACACAAUCCCCACCAUCACGCAGUGUCGGUGAGGAAAAGGAAGGGUGCUUUGGAGAAUCCUGGCACGAGAUUUGCAACGCAAGCUGACGGCCUGAACUUGACACACAUUUCCUCUGCGACAUGUAGUAGGCAUUCCUUCGCAGCUGCUUUGCAGGAGGGAAACAGAAGUAGGGUCAGUAGUGAGGGUUUCUGCGAGAACGACAUGAUGCUUAAUCCCAAUGAGUCGGACGAAGGUAGCAAAUCACGCAGUAGCAACAGACAUGGAGUUCCGAAGAUCUCAGAUUGGAGUGACAGUGACUCUUCAGCUUGAACUGAACACCUGAAAAGAGCAGCAGUAUUGGUUCCAGCAGUAGCACCAAAACAUCCACUAAUUAGGCCUCAACAUCAGCAGCCGCAACAACUACUGUUUCCACUCCUGCCUGCAAAAUCUCAGCCAUCGACUAGAAAAGGAGAAAACCCUCCAGCAGAGGCAGUUGGCGAGCCGCAGCCUGCCCAAGACAUGAGGGAAUGAAGCAACAGCGGUGAAAAAUCCGGAGACGAAUACGAAAUGUCUAACUAUUAUGAUCCAAAAGCUUUCUCAUGCACCCUCAAACUGGAGCCGAAGAUGCUGACGCGGCACAUGCGAAUAUCUUUGCCAACUGCAAGAGAAUGAAAAAGACCGGUUUCCUAAGGCCCAUGAGGCGUGAAGUUAAUUAUACCGACUGACGAAGACUCAAUUUGCUACCCAUAUUGCUACCAAUUUGAAUUUUAAAAAUGAAUGACAAAUA